rnacentral:tRNA from 1 species
GCGGGUGUAAUUCAGUGGUAGAAUGUCAGCUUCCCAAGCUGAACGUCGCCGGUUCGACUCCGGUCACCCGCUCCA